UAGGUGGCAAGCGUUGUCCGGAUUUAUUGGGCGUAAAGCGAGCGCAGGCGGUUUUUUAGGUCUGAUGUGAGAGCCUUCGGCUCAACCGGAGAAGUGCAUCGGAAACCGGGAGACUUGAGUGCAGAAGAGGACAGUGGAACUCCAUGUGUAGCGGUGAAAUGCGUAGAUAUAUGGAAGAACACCAGUGGCGAAGGCGGCUGUCUGGUCUGCAACUGACGCUGAGGCUCGAAAGCAUGGGUAGCGAACAGGAUUAGAUACCCUGGUAGUCCAUGCCGUAAACGAUGAGUGCUAAGUGUUGGAGGGUUUCCGCCCUUCAGUGCUGCAGCUAACGCAUUAAGCACUCCGCCUGGGGAGUACGACCGCAAGGUUGAAACUCAAAGGAAUUGACGGGGGCCCGCACAAGCGGUGGAGCAUGUGGUUUAAUUCGAUGCUACGCGAAGAACCUUACCAGGUCUUGACAUCUUCUGCUAACCUAAGAGAUUAGGCGUUCCCUUCGGGGACGGAAUGACGGGUGGUGCAUGGUUGUCGUCAGCUCGUGUCGUGAGAUGUUGGGUUAAGUCCCGCAACGAGCGCAACCCUUAUUGUCAGUUGCCAGCAUUUAGUUGGGCACUCUGGCGAGACUGCCGGUGACAAACCGGAGGAAGGUGGGGAUGACGUCAAAUCAUCAUGCCCCUUAUGACCUGGGCUACACACGUGCUACAAUGGACGGUACAACGAGUCGCGAAACCGCGAGGUCAAGCUAAUCUCUGAAAGCCGUUCUCAGUUCGGAUUGCAGGCUGCAACUCGCCUGCAUGAAGUUGGAAUCGCUAGUAAUCGUGGAUCAGCAUGCCACGGUGAAUACGUUCCCGGGCCUUGUACACACCGCCCGUCACACCAUGAGAGUUUGUAACACCCAAAGCCGGUGAGGUAACCUUCGGGGGCCAGCCGUCUAAGGUGGGACAGAUGAUUAGGGUGAAGUCGUAACAAGGUAGCCGUAGGAGAACCUGCGGCUGGAUCACCUCCUUUCUAA
rnacentral:rRNA from 1 species